CACCUCUCAGUGUCGCACCUGGAGAGUUUCCAGUACUCUACCAGUCUCGACUCCGGGAGGGAGAGUCAGGCAGAGGCAUAUCUGUUCCUUUCCUAGCUCGGGCAGUGGCUAGCGAGUGGAAGGUCAUCUGCCGCAGGU
rnacentral:snoRNA from 1 species